rnacentral:miRNA from 1 species
UGACAGUGUGUCACGGAGAGAGUUUCUCCGUGACACAUAGCAGUGUGUCACGCAGUGUGUCACGGAGAAACUCUCUCCGUGACACACUGUCC